rnacentral:rRNA from 1 species
UACGUAGGGGGCAAGCGUUGUCCGGAAUCAUUGGGCGUAAAGCGCGUGUAGGCGGCCCGGUAAGUCCGCUGUGAAAGUCGGGGGCUCAACCCUCGAAUGCCGGUGGAUACUGUCGGGCUAGAGUGCGGAAGAGGCGAGUGGAAUUCCUGGUGUAGCGGUGAAAUGCGCAGAUAUCAGGAGGAACACCGGUGGCGAAGGCGGGUCUCUGGACAGUUCCUGACGCUGAGGCACGAAGGCCAGGGGAGCAAACGGG